rnacentral:lncRNA from 1 species
UGCAAGGCAGCUGCAAAGAUGGAGCAUUCGGAUGCACAUUGCUAGUUGCUGCCAGCAGAAAUCUGGCUCUCAAUCCUCAGUCCUCAAGAACAUUUAACCAUGUGAACGUAAGAAUGGACAUUUGACUCUUCAAGUAUUCCCGGACGGCCCCCUCCAUCGCAAACUGCUUGCAGAUUGCAGCAACCUCUAUUAUUUUUAACCUACAGCCAUGAUGGAUUGGCUUGGAAGUUCUUUUGCCACAAGCUCUAAAAGAAAGUUCUGGCCACAUGACAUGAGCUUCACGGCUUGAUUGGACAGCUGCUCCUUGUACUGUUUGCACUGUCUGCUUGCCUGCUGGCAGGAGAACAGCAAAGCAAAACAAAGCAUAGAAGCCC